GACAGAGGAUGCAAGCGUUAUCCGGAAUGAUUGGGCGUAAAGCGUCUGUAGGUGGCUUUUUAAGUCUGCCGUCAAAUCCCAGGGCUUAACCCUGGACAGGCGGUGGAAACUACCAAGCUGGAGUACGGUAGGGGCAGAGGGAAUUUCCGGUGGAGCGGUGAAAUGCGUAGAGGUCGGAAAGAACACCAACGGCGAAGGCACUCUGCUGGGCCGACACUGACACUGAGAGACGAAAGCUAGGGGGAGCAAAUGGG
rnacentral:rRNA from 1 species